rnacentral:rRNA from 1 species
UCGGGAAUUUUGGGCAAUGGGCGAAAGCCUGACCCAGUAACGCCGCGUGAGGGAUGAAGUAUUUCGGUAUGUAAACCUCGAAAGAAUGGGAAGAAUAAAUGACGGUACCAUUUAUAAGCUCCGGCUAACUACGUGCCAGCAGCCGCGGUAAUACGUAGGGAGCAAGCGUUGUUCGGAUUUACUGGGCGUAAAGGGCGCGUAGGCGGCGCGGUAAGUCACUUGUGAAAUCUCUGAGCUUAACUCAGAACGGCCAAGUGAUACUGCUGUGCUAGAGUGCGGAAGAGGCAACCGGAAUUCUUGGUGUAGCGGUGAAAUGCGUAGAUAUCAAGAGGAACACCUGAGGCGAAGGCGGGUUGCUGGGCCGACACUGACGCUGAUGCGCGAAAGCCAGGGGAGCAAACG